UCCUCCUGACUCUUGGUGGAUCCGCGGCUCCAGCUGCUUCUUAACGGACUUCAGUGUGAGUUGGAGGUUGGGUCUGCCUGCUUCUCCUGCAAACCUGAGGCCACAAGCUUAUCUCCUGGGAAGUCCCAUCCCUCUUUUGCGUCCAGCAUCGAUCUCUUUUAGAACAAGAGCUCAGAAAUGAGAGGGCAGAGAGUACGACUGUGUUUUUAUUUGAAUUUAAUAUACGCCUCAGCACUUCCUCGGGGGAGAAUAUCAGCUUUAAAAUGCCCGGAAAGGUACACAGUUUUUCUAAAUUCCUUCAGAGCGUUCAUGAGCCAAGUUGUGUGAGGACCGAUAUCUAGAAGCAACUGAGCAAAGGAUCUGAGCUUCUCCAUCUCACAGACUGAUGCCCUAACCAGGAUGUAACGGCAGGAUGCUCUCAGUCCACUCAUAAUCCUGACAGCUACCAUAAGAGAAUAAGGGUGAGAAGAGAAGCGUUUAACCGAGACGACAAAAAGAAACUUCUCUUUGAAGUGGUUGCCCCUCCCCUCAAAGGAUUCAUUCAUUAAAUUCCUGAGCCCGAGGCAACUUUGGACGUGUUCUAUAUUUUUAAUUGUCUUCUGUGGUGUUUAAAUGUUUCCUGUCUUAGAGAGAAAAAAAACAAAAAGGGAGCGCCUUCUAGGGGCAGGAGAGAGAAAUCGUAUUCACGAAGGUUCAGUUUGUCUUUGUCCUUGUCCUAGUCCUGGAUUGGCUGAGUGCGACCUAUGCUUGCCCUAGGACAGUGACAGCGGCACACAGGUCACUGAUGUAAGUGGUUUAUGCUUCUAUGUUUUUGGAUAACUGAAAGUCAAAGCACUUAACUAGACGCGAUGGCAUGGGACCGCAACCCCAACAUUUGGGAGGUGGAGGUGGGAAGGUCAGGAGUUUAAUCUUGUCCUCCUUGGCUAAACAUUGAGUGUGAAGCCAGCCAUGCUGCCCAGGAACUCCAUUGUUUCAGAGUUGGCAGAAAAGCAGAUGUUCAGAACCCAAGAGAAAGAACUGGUUGUCUCCAGCCAGUGAGUGGUAAGCAGGCGUUCUGGAGGUAAGGAGGAUUUAGAAGGCUCACGGACAACCUCUGAACUCCCUGGACACCAGAAUCAGCAGGGGCCAAGAACAGGUUGUGAGACAUUAUUUUUUCCCACUUGCCUAAGAUAAUACAGACUUAUUUUUUCCCCAUCAACCACUUGGCUCCUAUUCUGCUGUAAGUACCUUAAAGCAAGAUGGUUGAUGUGAUAAAGUAUUUGAGCCAUUCUGUGCACAAGGCCUUAAAUACUGUAUUGCCCCAUAGAAAGAAUUUACUGUGAAAUGCAAGGUAGCCAGAAUGAGGGAUGGGAUGCACAGUGGUCUCGUGAACUUGUGUUUCUGUAGAAACCUAAUAGCCUUCCAUUUGUUGGGAGCCAGCCCAGGCUAUCAACACACUUAGGUCUUAAGACUUCACGUUUCUUUACAGAUAGUCUCUCGUGCUCAAGCUAGGCUUGAAUGGUGUAUCCUGAAACCCACAUUCUACCUCGUCUCAGUAAAAACUGAAAUCAACUUUCUGCAAACAAUGAAAGUCAUAACCCCGAGGAAGCCAUAAGUAACUAAAAAAGCAAAGUGUCCUCACAAAGUAGUGUUUGGGACCGAGAAAGCUGUGGAAUGUUCGUUGUUGGAUAUGUUAUAAGACAUCUUUGUAAUUCACAUCUAGAAAGGAGAAGAAGGCAAGGGAUAGGUGUAGUGAAGGAAGCCGAAAAGUCUCCUUUAUUCUGGUCUCACCUUCUGCUUUACACAGACAAGCUCAGUGUAGGAAUGUGGUUCAAAGACACCUAGGCAGACUCAGAGACAGCACAUACAGGUAACUAACAGGAACCACAGAAAUUACACAGAGUUGGAAGGUGGCAAAGGCAGAGCAAAUUCUCUGUUAGUUCUUCUAGUAUCACUAUCCUAGCCCAGCAACUGGAAACCUGCCCUUCCCUUGUUAUACCAACAGGGGGCAGCAGAGAAGAGGAAAUGUAGGUUCUUGGCCCUGUGAGCUAAGCCACUGUUUCCCCUCCCAGCCUCCAAGUCCCUCACAAACACCUUAAAGCAGUUUUUCUCACUUAUGUACUUUUAAAGGUUAGGUGGGAGGUGUUGUGUGUGUGUGCGUGUGUGUGUGUGUGGGGGGGGUAGAGGUAAAACACUGAACAUUUAAAGUGUGCUUGUUUACUGUAUAUUCUUGUUGGUUUCUGUCCACCGUAUUGGUCACCACACUGCUGCCACAUGCUAGUUAAACCUUGUUUAUUAAGAGACAGUACAGUUUGAAUGGAUAAGCAGGCAAGGAGAUUAGAUCUGAAUGUCUUUUUAAGUGUUCUGAGAGUACAAUGUAAUAUGAAGAAUCCCUCAAUCGUUUUGGAUUAUAAACAAGACUUCCUGAUAUACUAUUGUUGUAGUAGCUGUGUGUAGGGUAGCUGUGUGUGUGUGUGUGUGUGUGUGUGUGUGUGUGUGUGUGUGUGUGUGUAGAGGUUUCGCAAGUGCUCUACCACUGAGCCAAAUCCCUAGCAACUC